UUGAAAGGGAAACGAUUGAAGUCAGUCGUACCAGCGGGAAAUCAACCUUUCGAGUGGGGGUUUUGGAGUUUUGAAGAGUGUCAAAACCUUUGAGAUUUCAAGAUAUUCGCUCUUUUGGUGUACUUUCUCGUGGGUAGGUUAACAUCGAUUUUGAUCAUCAUAAAAAGAUUGGAGGAAUGUAGCUUCGAUCUUGUAUUGAAGUGUUAUAGCCUUUGGUAAAUGUGAUGAUUAGGAUCGAGGAUUGCAACGAAUACCCUUUUGGGCUAUCCGCCUGAUCUCUGAUACGUGGCCUUGGUAUCGAAAGCGUGCUUAUGGUAUUGAGGUAUUACGGUCAAAAGGUUAGAACGGAUUACAUUCGUUAAGGAUGUUGACGUA
rnacentral:rRNA from 1 species